rnacentral:rRNA from 1 species
AUACGGAGGAUCCAAGCGUUAUCCGGAUUUAUUGGGUUUAAAGGGUGCGUAGGCGGCUUAUUAAGUCAGGGGUGAAAGACGGUGGCUCAACCAUCGCAGUGCCCUUGAUACUGAUGAGCUUGAAUACACUAGAGGUAGGCGGAAUGUGACAAGUAGCGGCGAAAUGCAUAGAUAUGUCACAGAACACCGAUUGCGAAGGCAGCUUACUAUGGUGUCAUUGACGCUGAGGCACGAAAGCGUGGGGAUCAAACAGGA